GACGAACGCUAGCGGCGUGCUUAACACAUGCAAGUCGAACGGUGAAAGCGGAGCUUGCUCCGCUGGAUCGGUGGCGAACGGGUGAGUAACACGUGGGCAACCUGCCCCUCACUUCGGGAUAACUCCGGGAAACCGGGGCUAAUACCGGAUAUGACCUCCUUGGGCAUCCUUGGAGGUGGAAAGUUUUUCGGUGAGGGAUGGGCCCGCGGCCUAUCAGCUUGUUGGUGAGGUAGUGGCUCACCAAGGCGACGACGGGUAGCCGGCCUGAGAGGGCGACCGGCCACACUGGGACUGAGACACGGCCCAGACUCCUACGGGAGGCAGCAGUGGGGAAUAUUGCGCAAUGGGCGAAAGCCUGACGCAGCAACGCCGCGUGCGGGAUGACGGCCUUCGGGUUGUAAACCGCUUUCAGCAGGGAAGAAGCCGCAAGGUGACGGUACCUGCAGAAGAAGCACCGGCUAACUACGUGCCAGCAGCCGCCGUAA
rnacentral:rRNA from 1 species